CUGACUGACCGAUAGUGAACCAGUACCGUGAGGGAAAGGCGAAAAGAACCCCGGCGAGGGGAGUGAAAAAGAACCUGAAACCGUGUACGUACAAGCAGUGGGAGCACGCUUAGGCGUGUGACUGCGUACCUUUUGUAUAAUGGGUCAGCGACUUAUAUUCUGUAGCAAGGUUAACCGAAUAGGGGAGCCGAAGGGAAACCGAGUCUUAACUGGGCGUUAAGUUGCAGGGUAUAGACCCGAAACCCGGUGAUCUAGCCAUGGGCAGGUUGAAGGUUGGGUAACACUAACUGGAGGACCGAACCGACUAAUGUUGAAAAAUUAGCGGAUGACUUGUGGCUGGGGGUGAAAGGCCAAUCAAACCGGGAGAUAGCUGGUUCUCCCCGAAAGCUAUUUAGGUAGCGCCUCGUGAAUUCAUCUCCGGGGGUAGAGCACUGUUUCGGCAAGGGGGUCAUCCCGACUUACCAACCCGAUGCAAACUGCGAAUACCGGAGAAUGUUAUCACGGGAGACACACGGCGGGUGCUAACGUCCGUCGUGAAGAGGGAAACAACCCAGACCGCCAGCUAAGGUCCCAAAGUCAUGGUUAAGUGGGAAACGAUGUGGGAAGGCCCAGACAGCCAGGAUGUUGGCUUAGAAGCAGCCAUCAUUUAAAGAAAGCGUAAUAGCUCACUGGUCGAGUCGGCCUGCGCGGAAGAUGUAACGGGGCUAAACCAUG
rnacentral:rRNA from 1 species